AUUGAACGCUGGCGGCAUGCCUUACACAUGCAAGUCGAGCGGCAGCGCGGGGGCAACCCUGGCGGCGAGCGGCGGACGGGUGAGUAAUACAUCGGAACGUGUCCUUUCGCGGGGGAGUAACCAGUCGAAAGACUGGCUAAUACCGCAUGAGAUCUCACGAUGAAAGCGAGGGACCGCAAGGCCUCGCGCGAUUGGAGCGGCCGAUGCCGGAUUAGCAGUUGGCGGGGUAAAAGCCCACCAAGGCUACGAUCCGUAGCUGGUUUGAGAGAACGACCAGCCACACUGGGACUGAGACACGGCCCAGACUCCUACGGGAGGCAGCAGUGGGGAAUUUUGACAAUGGGGGCAACCCUGAUCCAGCCAUGCCGCGUGUG
rnacentral:rRNA from 1 species